rnacentral:lncRNA from 1 species
CCUGAUUGUGCCAGCUCACUCAGUACCCAGUCCUAUAGGAUAAUCCAGCUCUGAGGUGCGCAAACUGACCUCCCACUUCUCUUUAAUGUCAAAUCUGAGGUGGCAACUGGUUCCUUCUGCUAUCUGGAGGUUGCAGUGACCCCUCCAUCUAGAAGACCAGGGAUGUGCACCAUUGUUAGGGUGGCAGAUAGGGUACAAACUUAUGUAGUCACUGCUCUAAGGAUUUCUGGAGUGUCCACUAUCCCCAUUCCUGGGCUCCCAGUCAAGAAUGUAAUUGAAGCCCUAUGACAAUAGAGUGUGAAAGGAAAGAUGUCCCCUGGUGUCAAAUACCUUGGCCAGCCAAACCUAAAAGCACAGAGCAGAUGCUUGGCUUUAUUCCUGGUGCUGGCUGGGUCCCUAUGUCCUGCCCCAUACCAGAACUACUCUCUAGGCAAAAGUCAUAGCCAACUAAGGACUUCAAGCUCCUGCCUCCUCCAGAAUGCCACAAUCUGAUCCAGUGAGAACAGCCUGCCUCCUCCUGCUAACCCUCCUGUUUAAAGGCUAAAGAUAUGGAGGUAGGAGCUGUAAGUCCAAGAUAGGGGACCAUGAAGCAGCAUUUUAUAUGCUGAGGAUUUCACCAGAGGAGGACCAGGAUGUUGCUAUCUGAUGUCAGCUUUCAAGUGCUUUAGAGUCAGAGAGUAGAAUCAACAAGCAGGUGAGCUGGGUUUUCAUAGUGUCAUUGAGAAGUCCCCAGGAAACCUAACCUGGAAAGAAAACCCCUAUCACCUGGAGGAGACACUGGACCUGGGCACUCUGUUCUGGAUGCCACAAGGAGAGAUAACUCCCUGGACAGAUGCUGAUGGUUGCUCAUUCAGGGUCUAUUCAGGCUCCUCCUCUGUUUCCUGGAGGGGGGCUCUUAAUGCUGUUUACCUGUGCUGGAUUUUAGAAGCCUUGCUUCCUUGUGAUUUCAGGGGAAAGAUCUAUGAAGCUAUCUGGCCACUGCCCUGACCCAUCAUGAUUUUCCUGAGGAAAUGAAUGUCAAUGGUGGUCCUGAAGAGGAGAGCAAAAUAUCACAGCCUCACAGUGAGUAGGGAAGAGGCAAAGGGCAGCCUUUCCUUUGAAGCCCAGGGAGGGACUAUACAGGAUGAUUGUAGGGAUGCAAGAUUCAGGUGCGUUUCAAUAACAACACACCAAUGGGAGUUGUUCCUUGUUGAGUUUGCUGUGUCGGGGAUUAUACUAAAAACUUCAUAUGCAAUAACAUAUUUAACCAUGUCCCAAAUUUUAUGAUGCAGAUACUAUUAUCUUUCCAUUUGGCAGAUGGGGAAUCAAUCACAGAGAAAUUAAGUAGCUUACUUAAAGUCACAAAACCAGUAUACAGUAGAGGUGGCUUUCAAAUUCUGGUCUUUUUCAAAGCCUGGAUUUUACCCAGUACCUAGGCUGCCUCCUCAGCCUAGGUACUGGCUUCCUUUAUGACUGCUUCCUCCCACUAUCAAUGUUUAUUACCUAGCACUUGAGGGUUCUCCCCAAACUGAGUACCUGGGCAGUGCUUCUGAGUCCACAUAGCACAUACCCAUUAUUUACUCAUAUCAGUUAUGGGUCUAGACAAGGUUACAGGCAAGAAGAAUAGGUAGCUGUGGUGAACACGUGGCUUAAAGUUCCAUUUUUCAUAUUUGUGUUUCAUAGAGAUGAAGAGAGAAACAGAGAAUAACCUGUGGAGCUAGAUUUCUCUACCCCAACCAGUUUGAGAACAGUGUUUUGUUUCUUUCUUAAGAACCCAAAGUUGGGGGGGCCGGGGCGCGGCUCAAGAAAAGGCUGUCUAGUCCAGGUUGAAGCAGAAAUCACACACAGUUGAGAAGCAGCUUAAUUCUAUAUUUUACAUUAUGUCUGCAACUUAAAAGAAAGUUUUUUUUUCAAAGUGCAUGUUUAUUUCCCACAAGUCAUAAAAUAUCCGCAUUACAAAGAAUCUCUAAUCAGCCCUAGUUACGAAAAAUUAGAAAAGACCCAAAUGAUCAAAUAUGAGAGAACAAAUUAUGGCACAUUAGCUAGAUGAAUAUCGUAUAAUGAUAUCAUGAAGACUAGCUUAGCAAUAUAGGAAAGUACUUAUGCAAACGUUUUUGAAUACAAAAAUUUGAAUAAAAAGACAUACACACACUAGCAAACUACAUGGAAAACAGAAAAUCCUUCUUUUUAAAAGUGUUAAGAUUACAGGUAAUCUUUUUUGCUUUGUAGAUUUUCUCUAUUGUAUGAUUUAUAGCAAAUAAAAAACUCAAAAUGUAUACAUAUGGUAUAGUAUAUGGUAGCUUUUACUUUAGGCUCACAUUUUGCUUAUUUACCUUGCAACUCUGUAACCAAAUAGCUUUUCAUUUGAACUUGCAAAGUAUUGCAUGAAAUUUACAUAUUCCUUUAAAUAAACAACACACAUCUAUUCCUGUUAUACAAAUUGGGAUUAAUUCUUUAGGUUGGCAUCUUUUCCAAUCAAAUUUAAUUAUCCAUGUUUAUCAGUAAAAUUUUCUUUUCUUUUCUGUUUUGGAUAGGAAUAAUCAAAAUUAGAAAAGCAAAUGGCGAGCUCCCACCCCAGCCCAGCAGUUCCUGCUAAGGCAGCAGUGAAACCCAGCACACUGCCCUACUUUUCAUCUCUCUUGAAAGACUGGGAAAUGGGUUAUCUGGAGACACCCAGCACUCCUAACCUGUUAGGGAGGCUCUGAACUUGGCUGAGGCUUCUAAAGUCAGGUAACCCAAGAGGAUCAGAUCUUCAUUAUUCCAAGAAAUAGAGCUAGGACAUAUCCCAUGGAAGAGGAUGUUAGUGAACAUUCUGUUUUUGGUUUUUCCAGAGACCCAAGGCUAACUAGUGGUGUAGAAAGCUGAUUUUAUGGUCUCGGACAGUUUAUGCAACUGUUUGUUUAUAUUCUAUUCUUUCCUCUAAAGAUUAAAAGUUGCCUUAGGACAAAAGAAAAGGUUUGAUAGGUAAGACCAAAUAAUGGGAAAUAGGCAAGAGAGAGUGUUAAAAUGAGACUAUGGGAGAAGAAAGCUACAACAAUGAACAAAAACCUAGUGGACAAAGUAACUAGUAAAAACCAAAGCCUUUCUAAGCCAGUAGAGCUCAUUUCUAAGAUUUUAGAGGCCAGGGUGAGUCAUGAUUUGCCUGGGACUGGAGUGCCUUUGAGGAAAUCACACAGCAUGCCCCAGGGGUCUUGUUUUAGGGGUAUAAAAACCUUCCCAGAAGGGAGUAUGUCCGUUUCCCUUGUACUCCUGUAUCAUCUACUUUCAAUUUGCCAUGUCAUCAUUUUUUUAAGUGUGUGUGCAUAUAUUUAGUUGCUUCCUCUGGAUUUCACAGACUCCUUGAUGCCAAGAAGUCUAUUUUAUACCUUUUCUGUAUCAUCCUGCAACUCCCAAUGUACAGUUCCUCAAAUAAUGUCUUUUAAAAAUAGAAAUGGAAUUUAAUUCUUAGUCUUUUAGACCAAAUUAUAAAGCUUACUUUCCAUAUAUUCCCUAAUUAAUAAAUGACAACAUGGAAGCUCUUUUGCAUCUGAUAGUGAGUAGAAUAAGAGGUUAGAGUAAUAAAAAAUUUCAGGAAAUGGUAGGGGAAUGAAGAUGUUCCAGAUAGUUUUUAAGAAGGGGGUUAGCAACUCAAGAGAGGUAAGCAACUUUGCCAAGAUUUGACACCAGAAAAAAUUCAUUGGGACUCAUUUUUUUUUUUUACUUUAUUAUAUUCUUAUUACUAGACAAAUUACUCUGCCUUUGUUUCUUCUUAAUUUGGGGGGCAGGGCAGGCACUGAGGUUUAAACCUAGGGGUGCUUAACCACUGAACCACAUCUCCAGCUCUUUUAAAUAUUUUAGAGACAGGGUCUCACUGAGUUGCUUAGGGCCUCACCAAGUUGCUGAGGCUGGCUUUGAAUUCACAAUCCUCCUGCCUCAACCUCCUGAGCCACUGGGAUUGCAGGUGUGUGCCAUCGUACCUGGCCCUAAUUUGUUGAGAAGGGGCUGGACAGUCCUGAGUUGUUCUGGAAAGGAGUGUUGGUGGACUACAGCAGGAAAACAAAACAUGGCAGUGAGCCUUCAAGCAGAACAAGCUAGCAGUUCUCAUGGAACAAGCUAGCAGUUCUCAUUUUCGAACUGCCUGGUCUCCCAAGAGGCAGAUAUGCCAGCACCUCCCUAACCCCGCCCCCUGCCCUGCCUCUCCCCCACCAAUCCCAUUGCAUUGUUCCAAUUUUUGUGUGGAUCACUGAGCUUUUAGCAAUACUCAGUCCUUUUGGGGGAUAGAUAGUGAAGACGUUCACAUUAUGCUCUUGACCAAAGCAUGAUCUUUUAAGUAGUUCCUUGACAAUUGUUUUAUGCGAACCAUGGUUUUCACGGAGGAACUGAACUUGAGACGGGUAUGGAGUGUGGGUUCUGGUGCAGGAUCUAGUAAACCCACUGAAACUCAGCUCACUGGAACACUGAAGGGCAUUAUCAUCCCCAGGCACCUGGGAGUGGAUUUUCAAUUUUUGAGUGUAAAAGAGAGUUCCACUGGAAAGGCAGUAUUCCAAAUCCUUAGAGUUGGAAAUAGAUUGAGACUCACCAUCAUGCAGUAUGCUGGUGUCUCUGUACCCUUCCCCAUGCAGCAUCCACUAAGAGGAGGUGGCUUUUCAUUCCUCUGGCCCACCCAUGCCCAGCAGGCCCCUGGGAAAAUGGAGGGAGAGCUGCUCCUCUGUCACACAUACAAAAGACACCUUACCUUUUGUGCCAUCAGCUUUCCUCUGAACAGGGGCAUGGAUUCCACAGUGGUCCCCUGAUGACUCCUCCAGAAAGAAUUAAGGCUGCACUGCCUUCCUUUACAUCAAAGCCAGACCUUGGCGCAGUAUCCUGUGUUCUGUCUACUUGCAAUCAGCAGCAAAUCCAAAUAUAGUUUGAGAAUGGUGUCACAGAAACCUAUUCUCAAGGGUAGGCGUUUUGAUUAAAAGUGAAAUAUGAACCUAUGACGUUCACCUCCUGUGCACAAAUGAACAACUUUGAAGCUAUUACUGGUGCUUGUUUCUGGGUUAUUUUUCCAAUCAACAAACAUUAUAUCUUUCAUGUAUGGGGCAUCCUGGCCAUACAAUGAAUAGCCUCCAGGUCAAUGGUACUGGGGAUUUUCAUUUCAAAAGAAAAAAGUAGUUUCAGCUUGGCUAAGGGCACAAUGCAGAAGGGAAGAAAGCCCAGGGCUGAGGAACACAUUGCCACAUCUAGUUCUCAGCUAGCCCCGCUGCUGAGCUGAACUCAACCAGCUGAAUGUCUUGGAGCAAGCCACUUAAUCUCUCCAGGCCUCCUUUUCCUCUGGCCUUUGUGGUCAGAAGGGGCAAUGUUUUGCUGAAUCAGCAUUUCAUUCAGGGCAUCAGCAUUGGCAGGCUCUGAUAAGGCCCUGACUCAACUCUUUGUUCUCCAUGGCCUUGGAAACAGAUGGAAAUAAAAUUCUCACAGGCAGCCAGAACCAGCCUUAUCCUCUGGGUUGAUGCCCAUUUGUCAUAAAUUUGGCAAAGUUACAUUCUUAUUAGUGAACUCUCAACAUAGCUUCAUUCAUUGUGUGACACACAAAAUUUAUGACAUCUGUUGGAGGAAUGUAGCUCUGAAAACCCUCAAUGUCAAAAAGUAUAUAUAGUGGAGGGAACAUUUCUCAUACUGCCUGACAUUUCUGAUUUCUUUCUAAACACCUGCUAAUUUGGGAAAUGAUGACAAAAACUAAUGGUUUUUGUUUUGAAGUGAGGAUUCAGAAUAUUCUUUUCCUGUAUACACAUCUGAUUGUAGACUUUUUAAAAUUACAUCUAUAAAUAUUGUUGACAAGUUGAGAAUAUGGUUAAGAUACACUCAAAUAUUUGUUUAAGAAAAAAUGAUUUUUUUUUCCUGGAGAAGAAAAAAAAAUUCAGGCCCAAAAUGUUAAAUUAUGGAGUAUAAAUACCAGCAUACACAAAAGGUGAAUUUUGUUUCUGUUAAUGAAUCUCUAGGAAAAGUAGGGGAACUGUUCUCUUCACUGCUAAUUGCAAAAAAGUUCAGAAUGUAUUCACCAAUGCUUUCCUCUUACUAAUGGAUUAUAGAAGUCUCAUAAGGAAUUUAUGUUUUUUGAAGAUGUUUAUAUCCUCCCCUAUACCCUUUUCUCUGUGGGUUCUAUUGUUUUGCGCUGAACAGGGCAACUGCUACAGCCACUCAUUCUGGAAUUAGGCCUGGUAAGUUUCAGCAAUUCAGAUUCAGAGUUGAACCUUGAAAUCUCUCUAUAUACUUCACGGGUCUCUAUACCUGGUGGCCCUAUCAGCAACGUUAGCCUUGGUCCUUCCAUGAUGGACUCCUAAUCUCCUGAACCUGACUGCACAGGGCAGCCUGCUCAGAAGUUAUCACACUGAGUCAGUGAAGGCGUGUGCCAUAUAAAAACAGGGCUGUUUUUAAAGUUUAAUUUUGCAGAUUAGGUAAUCAUUCUUGGAAUUGGUAUGAUGCAUAAUUAAUUGAUCCCAUCUGAUACAUAAAACCCAUAGAGGAAGUUUGAUGUUAAACCAGUUGUGGUCACAUCAGCUGCUAAACAAUAGACUAUCUACAUCUUCCGAGCCUCCUCUCCUAACUAUUCUGCUUCAACUGUCUUCACCUGUAUCUAGUCAUUGCUUUUCUUCUACUGAAUGUUUCCAACAAGUGGUACAAACCAAAUAGAACUUUAGAGUCUGAAAGACCAAGUAGCUCAGAACCUGUGAGCUAUGGAACUGAGAAAGUUGACUUGGCCUCCUGGAGCCCCUGUUAGUAAAAUAAGGACUGAUGUGAAGUUUAAAUGAAAUAAUUUAAAUAUAUAUGAAAUAAGAUAAUUUAAAUAUUUAUAUAUGCUCUUGCAUAUAUAAAUGCUAUCUGAGAAUAUUAACUAUCACCUUCACUUAGGGUAAAGGUAGUAUAAGUCCCUGAGGUGGUCUUUAGAGCACACAUAGCAAGUAGAGGGCAGUAGUAGUAUGAACCUGCCUAAGUGCCAAGACCUGUGCUCCACCAUUCCUUAGGUUACACAUUACAAAAGAAACCUGUGUGCUAAGUGUUAAUCUCACCUCCAUUUUACACAGAGAGCACUUUAGAUUGAGGUCCCUGACAGGUAGACAGCUAGUAACAGUAAAUCCUGAUCUGAAGUCUGAGCUGGCUCCCAAAGUGAAAGAGUGCCAGGUUUAAGAGAGGUUUCCAUGACUAUAGUAAAGUAGAAGCUUUUUUUUUUUUUUUUGUAGCUAAGGACUGGCAGAGUGAAACUGUGGACCAGAAGACAGCUUUUUGGAAGUGGGACUUAGAAGCCAGACCUCCAGACCUCCAGGCCUUUUUUUUUUUUCACUUUAUAGUCUAUGUCUUUCUGCAGAGAGGAGCUACUUGAUUAAAGAUCACGAAGGACG